CACGGGGGGAGCAAGCGUUGUUCGGAAUCACUGGGCGUAAAGGGUGUCUAGGCGGUCAGGUAAGUGAGAUGUGAAACGCCCCGGCUUACCCGGGGACCUGCAUCUCAUACUGUCUGGCUUGAGUAUGGGAGAGGAUGAGGGAAUUCCUGGUGUAGCGGUGAAAUGCGUAGAUAUCAGGAGGAACACCGGUGGCGAAAGCGCUCAUCUGGCCCAAUACUGACGCUGAAGCACGAAAGCUAGGGGAGCAAACGGG
rnacentral:rRNA from 1 species